AAUCUUGAAGUUGGAGUGUGAAUUUUACACUAUUUGGAGUUGAUCUAACACUGCAUUUUCUUAAAAAUGUUAAAUUUAACACUGGAUCAUGAAAGUGUUGUAGUUAAAAUGGAGUGUUGAAAAUGUUCAAAUCUUGUUAGUGUCACAGUAAAGACAUUCAACACUUCCACACUCCAUUUAACACCUAACAGUGUUCACUGUCUUAAGCUCCGCCCACGGACAUUUCAUUUAGACUCCACCACUCACUUCACGUUGCUGAAAUGAAAAGCAGAUGGAAGAAGUUGACAAUUAGGAAUCAUUUUGCAUCAGUAGUGUUGCUGUGAGCUGAAUCGGCACUGCCUGUGCAACAUUUGGCAAAGUAAGUGAACGCUACGUUACAUCUUCAUUAUACUGUCUUCAUUUUGAAUAAGCUAAUGGCUAACUAGCUAAUUAGCACGAGGAGCCCCCACAUGUAGGCCUGCUGGCCCCCAGCAAAGGACUUGAUAUGCUGUACAAGAUACAAGAUAUCAAGGUUGGGCAACUGUAAUUGUUACUUUAACUUAAAAAUAAUUGUCAGGCGUGUGUUGGAAGUGAACUACACAAUUUUUUUUUAGAAUGAUGCAUCUUUAUUUUUCUUCUUGAUUCACAGAAAACCUUUGCUGGAGUCUUACAUGAAUGUGAGGUGGAUGGAGAUGUGUAGACUCCACUAUCCCUUCACCCCAGUUAUCGCCAGUGGUGGUGAGCCUCCACUCUUGCCGACUACAUCCCAUUCAUUGGGUUCAACAAUUUAUCCUUCAGCCCACAAGAGGAACCCAACAGAACCAAUGGAUCAGGAUGAAGCAUGACAGAAAGUCGGUGGUGUUUUGAGGGCCAAUCCGAAAGGUGAGGAAAUCUUCAAGGAGUGCAACAAGACUGAAACACUAACCGAUGCAAGGUGUAAACAGAUGGUGAACAUCCUGGUUGCAGAUAUGAUGGAGCUGCAUGGGAGGGUUCCGCCAUCAUGUGUGAUGAGAAAUUACGCCCUGAGAAUUGUGACUUGUUUUCCAUACCUCAAAGAUCCAUUCUCCAAACCUGGAUAUGAUGCUUAGCUUAGCUGCAGUGGCUCAAGAGGUAGAGCAGGUCGUCCAGAAAUCGUAAGCUGUUUGGUGAGGAGUGCAAGGAGGCGCUAUCUACAAUAAGACAUUCAACCGAUGAAUCCGUGGUCAAAGAAGAUGAGAGCAACUUUCCAGUAUUGACAGAAUAUGAUCCAAGCGGAAGAUGUAUCAUCGUCUGUCCUUGAUGUGUUCACUCGCUUCCUUGAUGUUCCAGGAUUGAUUGACCAGGAUUUCUCAAUGAUGUUUGCUGAUGAAGUAUCUCAGAGGUUCCUGGCUAAGUGGUCAACUGUCUUCAAAGCAGAAGUCAUUGCAGACUGCAAGACUCUCCCGCAAAAGCGGAACAUUGAUGAGAUGCUGUCAGGAACUGAACCUCAACCUGAUGACAGCUGUGGCUGGGGCAGUGAUACAUCCUCCAUCCUUCUACUCCUGCAUCUGCUCCCUCUGACCUCUAGAGGCCAGGAAAAAAAACAGCAAAGAUCAGUUUGUCAAGCAGCCAACCAUCUUCUCAGAUAUCUUAAGGAAGGAGCCAGUGUGACCCCCUUCCAAGACUGUUGACACAAGACAAGCAUUUCUCCUCUGCAUCAGUGAGCGAAGGUGACAUCCAGAGGGUUUGCAUGAUUGACCAAAAGCCGAUUACAUGCAAGGCAUAUACAUUUAUUGCAGCUUUUGAUGAAAUGUUCAAAGCUCACUAUGUCUUCAGUCUCUCGUAUGGUUAAAAAUGGAUAAGAGCAAACAUUUGGGUCUGAAUGCUGCCCAGUCAUGGUGUCUUCUAUGUAACACUCCACUUCUAUUUGGUGAUGGCAUUGAAAGGAAGAAUGAUCACUGGAACUUCCUCCUCCUUUUGAUGCAGAUUGUCAACAUACCUGUAGUGUUCUCCUACACCAUAACUGAUGGAAUGAUCCUUUACUUGAAACAUCUGAUAAGUGACCCCCACACUCGGUACAAAGCAUUGCUUCCUGGUAAGAAGUUGAUUCCCAAGCACCGCUUGAUGAUACACUAUCCAAGAUGCAUACAAAAAAUUGGCCCUCUUUUCCAGACGUGGUGAAUGCGUUUUUGAAGCCAAACACAAUUUUUUCAAAAGGAGUGGUUAAAAUUUUUAAAAAUCUCAGCCGUUUGUCGUGGCCUUUCACUAUGAAAAUUAUUAUUUUAGAAGAUUUGAAUUUGGCCCUACAUCAAAAACAAUCUGCAACUUGAAAGGAGGGGAGGAGCGUGGUCAGGCAUGAUGUCUGCAAGCAUCUUCAAGUGUGUCAAGUACCAACUGGGUGAGAAGUUACGGUAUAGAGCACCAUGUUGGUGUGUUCAUAUGUACUGGAUGUAGCUUUGAUCUACCUGUGUUCAAGAAGAUCUGUGAUAUAAUAAAACACAAAGAAUGUGCUUUCAUAAUAGCUGUAAUGUAGAAACGAUGUACUAUGAUGACCCGUUUAACGCGUACUGCAAAGAAGACCAAAUGCUUGAGUUUUCUGUCAUGUGUUUAAAUGAACUGACUCAUUUCAGACCAUUUGACAAGCAGUGCUCUAAUGACAAGUGUCAAGGAGCAUACAUACUGUAGUGCCUGCUGUUAUUUAAGCUACUGUCUGUUGGAAAUGAAAUGUUUUUGAAUAAAAUGUAUGAAGCAGUCAACUAGUCAUUUUUUAAAAAAUUUUAAAUUUUAUUUUGAAGUAGUAUAUUAACACUUUUAUAGUGUUAAUGUUGCAACUCCUUUUGAGAGUAAAAUGACACUAUAAGAGUCAAUAAAUGACUCUUAAGAGAAUUAAUUUGUGACACCUCACACUAGUGUUAAAAAAAUGCAACACCGGUUGGUGUCGAGGAGUGUUAAAUUUUAACUAUAUAAAUAGUUAAUAUUGACUCUACAAUGGUGUAAAAAUGCCUACACUUUCAAAAGUGUUAAAAUAACACUUUGUAGAGUGGACCCCAUGGGACACUUUGAAAGUGUUG